rnacentral:rRNA from 1 species
AAAGUAUCGUACGAAUAAGGAUCGGCUAACUCCGUGCCAGCAGCCGCGGUAAUACGGAGGAUUCAAGCGUUAUCCGGAUUUAUUGGGUUUAAAGGGUGCGUAGGCGGUUUGAUAAGUUAGAGGUGAAAUCCCGGGGCUUAACUCCGGAACUGCCUCUAAUACUGUUAGACUAGAGAGUAGUUGCGGUAGGCGGAAUGUAUGGUGUAGCGGUGAAAUGCUUAGAGAUCAUACAGAACACCGAUUGCGAAGGCAGCUUACCAAACUAUAUCUGACGUUGAGGCACGAAAGCGUGGGGAGCAAACAGGAUUAGAUACCCUGGUAGUCCACGCAGUAAACGAUGAUAACUCGUUGUCGGCGAUACACAGUCGGUGACUAAGCGAAAGCGAUAAGUUAUCCACCUGGGGAGUACGUUCGCAAGAAUGAAACUCAAAGGAAUUGACGGGGGCCCGCACAAGCGGAGGAACAUGUGGUUUAAUUCGAUGAUACGCGAGGAACCUUACCCGGGCUUGAAAGUUACUGACGAUUCUGGAAACAGGAUUUCCCUUUGGGGCAGGAAACUAGGUGCUGCAUGGUUGUCGUCAGCUCGUGCCGUGAGGUGUCGGGUUAAGUCCCAUAACGAGCGCAACCCCUACCGUUAGUUGCCAUCAGGUCAAGCUGGGCACUCUGGCGGGACUGCCGGUGUAAGCCGAGAGGAAGGUGGGGAUGACGUCAAAUCAGCACGGCCCUUACGUCCGGGGCUACACACGUGUUACAAUGGUAGGUACAGAGGGUCGCUACUCCGUGAGGAGAUGCCAAUCUCGAAAGCCUAUCUCAGUUCGGAUUGGAGGCUGAAACCCGCCUCCAUGAAGUUGGAUUCGCUAGUAAUCGCGCAUCAGCCAUGGCGCGGUGAAUACGUUCCCGGGCCUUGUACACACCGCCCGUCAAGCCAUGGAAGCUGGGGGUGCCUGAAGUUCGUGACCGCAAGGAGCGACCUAGGGCAAAACCGGUAACUGGGGCUAAGUCGUAACAAGGUAGCCGUACCGGAAGGUGCGGCUG